rnacentral:rRNA from 1 species
CCUGGCUCAGAACGAACGCUGGCGGCGUGCCUAACACAUGCAAGUCGAACGAGAAAGGGGCUUCGGCCCUGAGUAAAGUGGCGCACGGGUGAGUAACACGUAGGUAACCUGCCUCUAAGAUUGGGAUAACCCGUCGAAAGACGAGCUAAUACCGGAUAAGACCACAGUCUCCUCGGAGAUCGAGGCCAAAGGUAGCCUCUACUUGUAAGCUAUCACUUAGAGAUGGGCCUGCGUACCAUUAGCUAGUUGGUGGGGUAAUGGCCUACCAAGGCAAAGAUGGUUAGCUGGUCUGAGAGGAUGAUCAGCCACACUGGAACUGAGACACGGUCCAGACUCCUACGGGAGGCAGCAGUGGGGAAUAUUGCGCAAUGGGCGAAAGCCUGACGCAGCAACGCCGCGUGAGUGAUGAAGGCCUUCGGGUCGUAAAGCUCUGUCGGAGGGAACGAAUGCUCCUGAGGUUAACAGCCUCGGGAAGUGACGGUACCCUCAAAGGAAGCACCGGCUAACUCUGUGCCAGCAGCCGCGGUAA